rnacentral:rRNA from 1 species
GGCACUACGGUGCUGAAGCAACAAAUGCCCUGCUUCCAGGAAAAGCCUCUAAGCAUCAGGUAACAUCAAAUCGUACCCCAAACCGACACAGGUGGUCAGGUAGAGAAUACCAAGGCGCUUGAGAGAACUCGGGUGAAGGAACUAGGCAAAAUGGUGCCGUAACUUCGGGAGAAGGCACGCUGAUAUGUAGGUGAAGUCCCUCGCGGAUGGAGCUGAAAUCAGUCGAAGAUACCAGCUGGCUGCAACUGUUUAUUAAAAACACAGCACUGUGCAAACACGAAAGUGGACGUAUACGGUGUGACGCCUGCCCGGUGCCGGAAGGUUAAUUGAUGGGGUCAGCGCAAGCGAAGCUCUUGAUCGAAGCCCCGGUAAACGGCGGCCGUAACUAUAACGGUCCUAAGGUAGCGAAAUUCCUUGUCGGGUAAGUUCCGACCUGCACGAAUGGCGUAAUGAUGGCCAGGCUGUCUCCACCCGAGACUCAGUGAAAUUGAACUCGCUGUGAAGAUGCAGUGUACCCGCGGCAAGACGGAAAGACCCCGUGAACCUUUACUAUAGCUUGACACUGAACAUUGAGCCUUGAUGUGUAGGAUAGGUGGGAGGCUUUGAAGUGUGGACGCCAGUCUGCAUGGAGCCGACCUUGAAAUACCACCCUUUAAUGUUUGAUGUUCUAACGUUGACCCGUAAUCCGGGUUGCGGACAGUGUCUGGUGGGUAGUUUGACUGGGGCGGUCUCCUCCUAAAGAGUAACGGAGGAGCACGAAGGUUGGCUAAUCCUGGUCGGACAUCAGGAGGUUAGUGCAAUGGCAUAAGCCAGCUUGACUGCGAGCGUGACGGCGCGAGCAGGUGCGAAAGCAGGUCAUAGUGAUCCGGUGGUUCUGAAUGGAAGGGCCAUCGCUCAACGGAUAAAAGGUACUCCGGGGAUAACAGGCUGAUACCGCCCAAGAGUUCAUAUCGACGGCGGUGUUUGGCACCUCGAUGUCGGCUCAUCACAUCCUGGGGCUGAAGUAGGUCCCAAGGGUAUGGCUGUUCGCCAUUUAAAGUGGUACGCGAGCUGGGUUUAGAACGUCGUGAGACAGUUCGGUCCCUAUCUGCCGUGGGCGCUGGAGAACUGAGGGGGGCUGCUCCUAGUACGAGAGGACCGGAGUGGACGCAUCACUGGUGUUCGGGUUGUCAUGCCAAUGGCACUGCCCGGUAGCUAAAUGCGGAAGAGAUAAGUGCUGAAAGCAUCUAAGCACGAAACUUGCCCCGAGAUGAGUUCUCCCUGACUCCUUGAGAGUCCUGAAGGAACGUUGAAG